rnacentral:lncRNA from 1 species
UUCCCUGAACUUCAACUGCAGGUAGACUUUGUCCGAACUCCUACGGGAGCCAGACCUCUUCCCCGAACAGAUAGACUUCAUCCGAGCUCCUACAAGAGCCGGACUUCCGCCCUGAACUCCUAUUGCAGGUAGACCUCACCCGAACUCCUACAAGGGUCGGACUCCAAGCUUCUAUUGCAGGUACCUCUCUCCGCCAGGCACCUCAACCAAGCUUUGACCGAUAGGCCUGGACCCCCUGGUAGGCCACA